UGGGGAAUAUUGCACAAUGGGCGCAAGCCUGAUGCAGCGACGCCGCGUGAGGGAUGACGGCCUUCGGGUUGUAAACCUCUUUCAGUGCCGACGAAGCGUGAGUGACGGUAGGCAUAGAAGAAGGACCGGCCAACUACGUGCCAGCAGCCGCGGUAAUACGUAGGGUCCGAGCGUUGUCCGGAAUUACUGGGCGUAAAGAGCUCGUAGGUGGUUUGUCGCGUUGUUCGUGAAAACUCACAGCUCAACUGUGGGCGUGCGGGCGAUACGGGCAGACUGGAGUACUGCAGGGGAGACUGGAAUUCCUGGUGUAGCGGUGGAAUGCGCAGAUAUCAGGAGGAACACCGGUGGCGAAGGCGGGUCUCUGGGCAGUAACUGACGCUGAGGAGCGAAAGCGUGGGGAGCGAACAGGAUUAGAUACCCCCGUAGUCC
rnacentral:rRNA from 1 species